rnacentral:rRNA from 1 species
AACGAACGCUGGCGGCAUGCCUAACACAUGCAAGUCGAACGAGACCUUCGGGUCUAGUGGCGCACGGGUGCGUAACGCGUGGGAACCUGCCUUUAGGUUCGGAAUAACUCAGAGAAAUUUGAGCUAAUACCGGAUGAUGUCUUCGGACCAAAGAUUUAUCGCCUUUAGAUGGGCCCGCGUAAGAUUAGCUAGUUGGUGGGGUAAAGCCUACCAAGGCGACGAUCGGUUUAGCGUGGUCUGAGAGGAUGAUCAGCCACACUGGGACUGAGACACGGCCCAGACUCCUACGGGAGGCAGCAGUGGGAAUAUUGGACAAUGGGCGAAAGCCUGAUCCAGCCAUGCCGCGUGUGUGAAGAAGGUCUUUCGGAUUGUAAAGCACUUUAAGUGGA